rnacentral:rRNA from 1 species
GUUAUAUGGUCAAGUGAAGAAGCGCAUACGGUGGAUGCCUUGGCAGUCAGAGGCGAUGAAAGACGUGGUAGCCUGCGAAAAGCUUCGGGGAGUCGGCAAACAGACUGUGAUCCGGAGAUAUCUGAAUGGGGGAACCCAGCCAUCAUAAGAUGGUUAUCUUGUACUGAAUACAUAGGUGCAAGAGGCGAACCAGGGGAACUGAAACAUCUAAGUACCCUGAGGAAAAGAAAUCAACCGAGAUUCCCUUAGUAGUGGCGAGCGAACGGGGACCAGCCCUUAAGUUGUAUUGAGAUUAGCGGAACGUUCUGGAAAGGACGGCCAUAGUGGGUGAUAGCCCUGUACGCGAAAAUCCUUUUGCAAUGAAAUCGAGUAGGACGGGGCACGAGAAACCUUGUCUGAAUAUGGGGGGACCAUCCUCCAAGGCUAAAUACUACUGACUGACCGAUAGUGAACCAGUACCGUGAGGGAAAGGCGAAAAGAACCGCGGAGAGCGGAGUGAAAUAGAUCCUGAAACCGUAUGCGUACAAGCAGUGGGAGCCCACUUUGUUGGGUGACUGCGUACCUUUUGUAUAAUGGGUCAGCGACUUAUUUUCAGUGGCGAGCUUAACCGAAUAGGGGAGGCGUAGCGAAAGCGAGUCUUAAUAGGGCGUCUAGUCGCUGGGAAUAGACCCGAAACCGGGCGAUCUAUCCAUGGGCAGGUUGAAGGUUGGGUAACACUAACUGGAGGACCGAACCGACUACCGUUGAAAAGUUAGCGGAUGACCUGUGGAUCGGAGUGAAAGGCUAAUCAAGCUCGGAGAUAGCUGGUUCUCCUCGAAAGCUAUUUAGGUAGCGCCUCAUGUAUCACUGUAGGGGGUAGAGCACUGUUUCGGCUAGGGGGUCAUCCCGACUUACCAAACCGAUGCAAACUCCGAAUACCUACAAGUGCCGAGCAUGGGAGACACACGGCGGGUGCUAACGUCCGUCGUGAAAAGGGAAACAACCCAGACCGUCAGCUAAGGUCCCAAAGUCAUGGUUAAGUGGGAAACGAUGUGGGAAGGCUUAGACAGCUAGGAGGUUGGCUUAGAAGCAGCCACCCUUUAAAGAAAGCGUAAUAGCUCACUAGUCGAGUCGGCCUGCGCGGAAGAUGUAACGGGGCUCAAACCAUGCACCGAAGCUACGGGUAUCAUCUUUUGAUGAUGCGGUAGAGGAGCGUUCUGUAAGCCUGUGAAGGUGAGUUGAGAAGCUUGCUGGAGGUAUCAGAAGUGCGAAUGCUGACAUGAGUAACGACAAUGGGUGUGAAAAACACCCACGCCGAAAGACCAAGGUUUCCUGCGCAACGUUAAUCGACGCAGGGUUAGUCGGUCCCUAAGGCGAGGCUGAAAAGCGUAGUCGAUGGAAAACAGGUUAAUAUUCCUGUACUUCUGGUUAUUGCGAUGGAGGGACGGAGAAGGCUAGGCCAGCCUGGCGUUGGUUGUCCAGGUUUAAGGUGGUAGGCUGAGAUCUUAGGUAAAUCCGGGAUCUUAAGGCCGAGAGCUGAUGACGAGUGUUCUUUUAGAACACGAAGUGGUUGAUGCCAUGCUUCCAAGAAAAGCUUCUAAGCUUCAGGUAACCAGGAACCGUACCCCAAACCGACACAGGUGGUUGGGUAGAGAAUACCAAGGCGCUUGAGAGAACUCGGGUGAAGGAACUAGGCAAAAUGGCACCGUAACUUCGGGAGAAGGUGCGCCGGUGGAGGUGAAGCAUUUACUGCGUAAGCCCCUGCCGGUCGAAGAUACCAGGCCGCUGCGACUGUUUAUUAAAAACACAGCACUCUGCAAACACGAAAGUGGACGUAUAGGGUGUGACGCCUGCCCGGUGCCGGAAGGUUAAUUGAUGGGGUUAGCGCAAGCGAAGCUCUUGAUCGAAGCCCCGGUAAACGGCGGCCGUAACUAUAACGGUCCUAAGGUAGCGAAAUUCCUUGUCGGGUAAGUUCCGACCUGCACGAAUGGCGUAACGAUGGCGGCGCUGUCUCCACCCGAGACUCAGUGAAAUUGAAAUCGCUGUGAAGAUGCAGUGUAUCCGCGGCUAGACGGAAAGACCCCGUGAACCUUUACUAUAGCUUUGCACUGGACUUUGAAUUUGCUUGUGUAGGAUAGGUGGGAGGCUUUGAAGCGUGGACGCCAGUCUGCGUGGAGCCAACCUUGAAAUACCACCCUGGCAACUUUGAGGUUCUAACUCAGGUCCGUUAUCCGGAUCGAGGACAGUGUAUGGUGGGUAGUUUGACUGGGGCGGUCUCCUCCUAAAGAGUAACGGAGGAGUACGAAGGUGCGCUCAGACCGGUCGGAAAUCGGUCGUAGAGUAUAAAGGCAAAAGCGCGCUUGACUGCGAGACAGACACGUCGAGCAGGUACGAAAGUAGGUCUUAGUGAUCCGGUGGUUCUGUAUGGAAGGGCCAUCGCUCAACGGAUAAAAGGUACUCCGGGGAUAACAGGCUGAUACCGCCCAAGAGUUCAUAUCGACGGCGGUGUUUGGCACCUCGAUGUCGGCUCAUCACAUCCUGGGGCUGAAGCCGGUCCCAAGGGUAUGGCUGUUCGCCAUUUAAAGUGGUACGCGAGCUGGGUUUAGAACGUCGUGAGACAGUUCGGUCCCUAUCUGCCGUGGACGUUUGAGAUUUGAGAGGGGCUGCUCCUAGUACGAGAGGACCGGAGUGGACGAACCUCUGGUGUUCCGGUUGUCACGCCAGUGGCAUUGCCGGGUAGCUAUGUUCGGAAAAGAUAACCGCUGAAAGCAUCUAAGCGGGAAACUUGCCUCAAGAUGAGAUCUCACUGGAACCUUGAGUUCCCUAAAGGGCCGUCGAAGACUACGACGUUGAUAGGUUGGGUGUGUAAGCGCUGUGAGGCGUUGAGCUAACCAAUACUAAUUGCCCGUGAGGCUUGACCAUAUAACACCCAAGCAAUU